rnacentral:tRNA from 1 species
AUUUAUAUAAUAUAAAAAAUAUAUUUGACUUCCAAUCAAAAAAUCUAGAGAUAGUAUAAAUA